rnacentral:lncRNA from 1 species
CUUUUUUUUUUUUUUUUUUUUUUUUUUUUUUUUUUUUUUUUUUUUUUUUUUUUUUUUUUUUUUUUUUUUUUUUUUUUUUUUUUUUUUUUUUUUUUUUUUUUUUUUUUUUUUUUUUUUUUUUUUUUUUUUUUUUUUUUUUUUUUUUUUUUUUUUUUUUUUUUUUUUUUUUUUUUUUUUUUUUUAUUUUUUUUCUUUUUUUUUUAUUGUCUGUUUUUUUCUUUUAUCCUGUUUUUCUUCCUUUUCAAGAUCUUGAAAAGAGAGAGAAAAUGAGAGAGAGAGAAUGAGAAAGAGAAAACGAGGGAAAGAGAAUGAGAGCAAGAGAGAGAGAGAGGAGGAGAAAUUUUUGGAGUUUUUUUAUUUUUAGUGGCUUUGAUAUUGAAAAUACUAUAUAAAGAAUUUUAGAUGAAAUCAGUCAGUUGAUACAAUUAUUGUUGUUAUGUGCUAUUAUCGUAUGAUAAGCGGGUGGGGCUUUUCUUGUUUUCGUAAACAUCAAGAUUUUAUUGGUUGGGUCUAUGAUUCCAGCCUACAUGAUACUCAAAAGGGCCCUGGUUCAUCUGGAAAUGAAAAGUGCUUUAUGAACGUUUGGAUUGGUGCUUCCUUGACUCGGUUUGGUAACUUCAAUUUCUACCCACCUAUAUCGUGUUAAGUCGGAUCACCGACCUAUUUUCAUGGUUGCGACCAAGCUCAAGAAGUCAAAUCUUCCUCAUACCUUUCGCUUUAUGGCUUCAUGGUUGUCACAUGUUGAGUUUAAGCCUUUUUUUGUCGGAAUGGAAUCGGUCUUUUACCUUUAUUCAUCAGAUGUCCAUUCGAGCUACCAAACUGAAAAAAUGAAAUAAGGAAAUUUUUGGCAACAUCCAAACGAAUAGAAGGAGCUUAUCUUUAAACUUGCUGAUGUUUAAGCUCUCGCAGCUCCUCUACUCAUUCAAGACACCACAAUGGACAUUGCAAGUGACCGGAAUACUCAUUUUUUUCACGUAUCCACCUUCCGUAGGCGUGCUCGGAACCACAUUAUUAAGUGAAGGAUGACUGUGGGGUGUGUAUUCAUUAGGUUUGGGAGUCGGUUAAUUUGGUUAAUAACCAUCGGUUAAUGGUCGGGAAGCGCUUUGAUGAUUGAAAUUAAUUAACCAAAUUAACCGACCGAGCAAAAGCCACGGUUAAUCUUACCGACCGAUAACCGACCAAUCAGUUAAAUGAUCGAUUAUUAACAGACUGACUCUCGGUUAACCGUUGUAACCGGCUCUGACCAAUUUAACUCUCUUCUCAUAUUGCAACAAGAUUCUAGGCUCUGGCUCUAGAUCCGUCGUCGAUUCAAGCCUUGGAGACCAUAGCUUCUCUUCUGGAAACAAUCCGGUGCUCUACAACUUGAUCCUUCGGGACUGGAAGCUUUCCGAGACGGCGUUGUUGCGGAUCAGUAAGGAGAGGAGGAAGCUUCAAGCCUAUGGUGUUGCAGAUCGAAGAAUUGAGAGAGUGGAGGAGGAGAGGAUUGGCCGUGGCGACGAAGGAAGCAUGUGGUGUUGCAGAUCGAAGAAUCGAGAGAGUGGAGGAGGAGAGGAGCGCUUGCGGUGACUCGUCGUGGUCGUCGUCGUGACUGCCGGCGAGAUGCUGAAAUUGAAUCGCUUGGAUUGAUAGAGUUGUCGAGAUGGAUUGAUGGAGUUGUCGAGAUGGAUUGAUGGAGAUGGCUCGGAGUUAACCUAAUUUCAGAAUGAGAGGUUGUGAUGGAGUGGGAGGCUGGGAGGGGAGGGAGCGAUUCUGCGAUUGUGGUGAGCAAAGCUUGAUUUCCUAAUUGGGGACCUUGGUUUUUUUAAUUACCGGUUAACGUUGGUUAACUCGAGUUAACCAACGAUUUUACCCUGCUCCAACAAGUACUCCCAACUGUUCCCCGACCGACCCCUACCUCGGUUAAACCGACACUCUAACCGAGUCGAUCAGUUCAUCUGUUUAACCUAUUAACCGAGACUGAUGGCCCACCCUUAGUAUUCAUCCAGCUUGUUGCUGCAAUUAGUGUCGUAUUGAUAUGGUUGAGAGAGGAUAAAAUAUGCUUGAUUUCAAGUUCUCCAACUUGAAAGGUUUAGCUGUUAAAAAUGUAGAGGUCAUGACUGAGUACUGAUUUCCAGCAAGGAGAAGUUGGAUAUUUGCUUGCGAUAAAAAAGAAUUUGGACAGUCUAUCUUAGGCACAAAAUCUAACGGAUGAGAUGGCAACUUUACUUCAGGGGCCUAUUGGUCAUUUUAAAAUUUUCUUGUUUUUCAGUUUAUUUUUCCAUUCUGUUUAAUAUUGGUUCAAGUAAAAUGAUUUCUUGUAAAUUGGGUCUAUUGAGUAACGUGGGUGGGUAGACUUUAUUGCUCCCAUCGAGCUUGACGUGAUAUUUUCUUCUUCGUUUCUUUAACAUGCAUAAAUUGUAUAUAAUACGAAAGGUUGGAAAUAUAUGUGAAGCUCGAGGUUUAUUAUAUAUGUUUCGAGGUUUAUUAUAUAUGUUGAACCUUUUUGCCAAUUGGUUAUUUUUAUCAUGUAGUGCCUUAUCAAGUAAAGGGAAUGGUUGUUUUUAUCUACUGUCACUAGCCAACUUUCUUUCUCAUGUGAUCAAUUAUUUGAUCACGCAUGAAUGACUACAGUACACAAAAGAUAGAAAUAUUAUAAAAACAAAAAACAAAUAUUAAAAAAAAAUACCUAAAAAGCAGGUACAUAACAACAAAAACAAUAACCGUAAAUAUCAAGUACAUGAAAGCGGAUGCUCAAAAUAAGCACGCACACAUUAAAAACUUUGGUACAUACAAGGCAAGAAAAUCGAGAACAUAUUGGAACUCGAGUACCGGAAUUGGUACGGUAUUAAGUACAACGUGAAGAAAUAUCAAGUACAUUAAAAAGCGAGUAUAUAACAAUAGAAAUAAGUACACGAAAACAACUCAGAGAAAUGAUAAUUUGAUUGCCAAAAUUGAGUAUGAUAAAGUAAAAUGCAAGCACGUAGUACAUGAAACAAAUAUGAGUAAGAGUACAUAAAUUUUUUAGUACAAUACAAGACAAAAACUCAAAUACAUAUAAAAACUGGACACUAAAAAAAAUAAUUAAUUAUUCACAAUUUUAAAUAAUAAUAGUCACGAUUUUUAUCAUGAUUAACAGAAGCUAGUCACGAAAAUAAAUCCGUAACUAACCUAACCGAUGCUAGAUGAACUUGUCACGAAUCUGAAUAACCUGUAACUAAGUUGUCACCGAAAUUUUCCGUGACCAACUCAUCACGGAAGAAACCGUGAACAUAUGUGUUUUUGUUUUUGUUUUUUAAAUUAGUGGCACGGAGCCAUAUGCUGUGAUAAUUGAUUUAUUAAUAAAUUAAUCCCACAUCUCCGUGGCUACUAUAUCACCAGAAUUUCCAGAUUCCGGCAACCACAAUUUCCAGAAUCCGGCAAUAAGAUAGAGUUGAUAAUUGCUUUUUUAUUAGAGUAAAAUGUUCUACAUCUAUACAUUAUGAUACCCAUAUCAAAAUUCCAGAAUCCCAAAAUUGAACAUAACGUCAACGAAAGGCACCAUGCAACAAUGGUGACACUAAGGGUUACAACAACCAGCAAAACCGAAACACAGACUGGAAAUGCUACCAAGAGAAGGAUGAGACUAGAUGAUGAGAUUGAGAUUGAGAGAAGAAAAAUGAUAGUAAGAAAUUUUGUUUUCGAGAGAGAUCAAAUGAAGAUGAGAUCUACUUCUAAUUUAAUAUAAUGGAAAUGGAGAUAUGGUUGUUUAAUGGCAAAGAGAGAAGAAAGGAAUAGCCCAUUAAACGAGGAUAGAGUCUGCAUCAUUUCUUUUUUCGACCUUUUCCCACUAAAAUGCUAAUUUUAAAAUUAUAAAUAAAAGUUGGUCACGGUUCCAACAUUUACCGUGAGUAGUUGGUCGCGGUAUUCAACAAUCCAUGACUAGUUAUGGAUUUUUUUUUAUCUAUAAGUAGUUAGUCAUGGUUUUUAAAGCCGUGAUUAAUAAAUCGUGAUUAAUCGUUGAUUUUUUUUGUAGUGCGAGUAUGAGUAUUGAGUAAAACGUCAUGUACAAAAACAAGUACAUCAAAAGCGAGUACAUAAUUAUCAAAACAAGUACUAAAACGAGAGGAAAAGUACAUAAAAAGCGAGUAUAUAAUAAUAGAAACAAGUGCAGUAAAAAUCAAGUGCAUGAAAGGAAAACGAAACUCAAACUAAACACUAAUACAAAAAAAACUUUAGUACGCAAAUAAGUAAAUACAAGAAAAUUAACAUACACAAACGAAUACAUAAGAGUAUAGUGUUUAAACAAAGCGAUUAUACGGAUCAAUACGAUGUUGAGUACAAAACAACAACUUGAGGCUUUAUCCCUCAUUUUUAGAUGAUUUUGUACUAAGUUCUUAUAUGUAUUAGUUUUUAUUAAUGUAAUCCCUCGUGUACUUUGUCUUUGGAUUUAUUUUUAUGCCAUAUCUAUUUAUUUACGCAUUUGUGUAUACUUAUAUUUUUAGAACUUUAUACUCAAAUCAAUUAAUCAAACAAUAAAACUAUUUUCUCUUUACACGAACCAACAUAAUAACCCAUCACCCCAUACAGGGUUGUGAAGGAGGUGCAGUGACCAGAAUUUUCUAGUUGUUGCUUUUCUAUAGUUUGAUAAGGGUAAGCAUCUUGUUCUAGAAUAUAUGUUGUUAGGUUAUAACAAUGCAUCUAGUUGAGCAUGAUUCUUUGGUCAAGUGUUACUGGGAUUCUUUUUGUUCCACAUCAAUGCUCGGAGGUCGAAGAGGCAACGAGGGUGACGAAGAAAUCGGCAUCACCACGUGAGAGAAGAUGAAGAAGAGGUCAGAGAGUGGAGCCGGUGGAAAAGAUAUACUAGAAGAGGUACUUAAAGUUACUUGUACGACAAAACUGCCCUUAUUCAAUUGGACAACCCCUAGAUUAAAAUUUAAAAAUGAACGGACGCGAUUCGUUUGCGGCCAGCAAACACAUAAUAUCAUGGCUGCCUAUCCGGACUCGUCAUAACUGGCGUCAACAUUACGUAGUGUUGUCAAAAAUUAAAAAGGGGAAUAUAUAAUAAUAAUAAUAACAGACGUAAUCUUGUGUAUAUAAUGAUAUUAAAACGUUUUUCAAUCGACAAAGCCAAGUCUGCGGGAGGAACAGCUAAUGGACGAACAGCCUAAGCAUAAGCCGCCUUCUUCGUAUUCUUCAGAUUCUCUGAAUCUCUACCCUUUUUUUUUGUUACGCGGAUUCCCUUCCCUCGUCUGCAAACAAAAAGCUCUUCGUUGACUUUUUAGCAGGCUUUUUUAAAAAACCUUAAUUGAAAA